GCUGGGACCAGAGAAGCAAUAAAGAGUGCUUCUUUCUGGUCAUAGGUGCUUGAGGGAGAACUAGAAGAUAGAUUCUGGUGGAAUUUGCAUUUAGCAAGGAGGAUGAGGAUCUGAGAACUUCAGCCUUGAGCUAUAAUUGUGCUGAGAGUCUAACAGUCAGUUUCCAGUAAUGAAAGGAGACAAGCUCUAAGGUGGACUUGACAGAAGCCUCUAACGCUACAGGAUCUUUGUUCUGCUGAUGUAAUUUCAAGCUCUGCAGAAGAUUUCACAACAGUACCACCUUGUUCUCCUCUCAGAAUUCAAAGUUAACCGGGCCAGGCUGGAGUAGAAGUCCAGAAUAAUUUACUGAAGCCAUUGUCACCAAGAUCAACACUAGUUUGUACAGUGAAAUUCUCCACUUUAUUUGAAAAGAAGAAAUGUUGUGUUAAAAUGACUCUUAAUACCAAACAAAAAGGUUGGAUCUUUUAGUGAUAAAGAUGCUGAUAACAACUACCCCAUGCCCUAGAAUAUCUGGAUGUACCAAAUAAAUGAUAGAAGUCAAUGGAGGAUCCCUGCCUUUCUAGUUUGCUUGUAGUGGUGGAAUCAAAUUAA